UACGAAGGGUGCAAGCGUUCCUCGGAAUUACUGGGCGUAAAGCGUGAGUAGGUGGUUUGUUCAGUCUGAUGUGAAAGCCCUGGGCUCAACCUGGGAAUUGCAUUGGAUACUGGCAGGCUAGAGUGCGGUAGAGGGUAGUGGAAUUCCCGGUGUAGCAGUGAAAUGCGUAGAGAUCGGGAGGAACAUCCGUGGCGAAGGCGACUACCUGGACCAGCACUGACACUGAGGCACGAAAGCGUGGGGAGCAAACAGG
rnacentral:rRNA from 1 species